ensembl:lncRNA
CUCCUUGUGACUCCUCCCCGUGACUCCUCCCCGUGACUCUUCCCCGUGACUCCUCCCCGUGACUCCUCCCCGUGACUCCUCCCUGUGACUCUUCCCCGUGACUCCUCCCCGUGACUCCUCCCCGUGACUCCUCCCUGUGACUCAGUUUAUUAAAGAAACUCGUUUAUUUUGCUGUUCGAUGUUUAUAUUUCUAGCUUUUCUGUUUAUUUGCCUUUUCAGAAUCCACAAAACAAGAUUCUCCACACACCUCCUGACAUGUCUUGUGUAUUAAAGCAGAAUGAGUAAAGGCAGAACCGCGAGCUUCACAGAGCUGCGUGUGAAACCUCAUGACGCUCCGAGACUAAAUCCAGGUCAUGACAUGCGAAUGAAUAAAAUCCUGUCAGUCAUUUCUGUUCCCAGUCCAUACGCGCUCCUGUAAAGAAGGAUAAGCUGACCCAGCGCUCAUCUGCUGCACUUACACAGACACGGCGAGUCCAUUCAACAUUCUCCCCAAAAUCAGUCGGUCCAAGGUUUCUGAUUAAGAUGUGUCUCCUCCUACAUCACUUCUGUGCUCUCCAAAGGGAAAAGGAAAAGAAAGGGAGGGAAAGAAGGAAUGUAGGAAGCCCAGAAGGAAGAAAAAGAAAGGAAAAUAAAGGAAAAGGAAGGAAAGAAGGAAGAAUAGAUGGAAGGAAGGAAUGGAGAGGAAACCAAAAGAGAAACAAUGAAGGAAGGCUAGAAGGAAGGAAGGAAAAUAAAAGGAAAGAAGGAAGGAAUGGAAAGGAAUGAAGGAAGGCUAGAAGGAAGGAAAGGAGGGGAAAGGAAAGGAAAGGAAAAGAAGGAAUGUAGGAAGGAUAGAAGGAGAGGAAAGGAAAUGGAAAAGGAAGAAGAAAAAGAAAGGGAAGGAAUGAAUUAAAGGGAAGGAUAGGAAAGAUUGAUGGAAGGAAGGAAAGAAUAGAAAGGAAACAGAAAAGGAAGAAGAAAAGGAAGGGGAAGGAAAUGGAAGGAAUGAAUUAUAGAAGGAAGGAAGGAAUGGAAUGAAGAAAGGAAGACUAGAAGAAAGGAAUGAAAAGAAACAGAAAAGGAAAAGAAGGAAAGGGAAG